AUUGAACGCUGGCGGCAUGCCUUACACAUGCAAGUCGAACGGCAGCGGGGGAGAAGCUUGCUUUUCCUGCCGGCGAGUGGCGAACGGGUGAGUAAUACAUCGGAACGUGCCCUGUAGUGGGGGAUAACUAGUCGAAAGAUUAGCUAAUACCGCAUACGACCUGAGGGUGAGAGUGGGGGACCGCAAGGCCUCAUGCUAUAGGUGCGGCCGAUGUCUGAUUAGCUAGUUGGUGGGGUAAAGGCCUACAAAGGCGACGAUCAGUAGCUGGUCUGAGAGGACGAUCAGCCACACUGGGACUGAGACACGGCCCAGACUCCUACGGGAGGCAGCAGUGGGGAAUUUUGGACAAUGGGCGAAAGCCUGAUCCAGCAAUGCCGCGUGUGUGAAGAAGGCCUUCGGGUUGUAAAGCACUUUUGUCCGGAAAGAAAUGGCUCUGGUUAAUACCUGGGGUCGAUGACGGUACCGGAAGAAUAAGGACCCGCUAACUCCGUGCCAGCCGCCGCCGUAAGAC
rnacentral:rRNA from 1 species